ensembl:lncRNA
UGAUUCUAGAAGGUUUACCCACCCAACUGACCAACAUGGCCAACGCUUUUCACAGUUUAGUCUGUUUUUUUCUGAUAUUGAAAAUGUACAGCUCUGAUCUGAUGGAUUUCAGCCUCUCUAUUUUGCUCAAUAUAGCAAUCGUUUAUGUGUAUGAAUCUGAAUCUUGUUGAAUAAAUAUAUAUCAGGAAGAAUGUGUAUUUUGACCUCCGGCAGCCUUUUUUACGGGCACAGAAAUACUCAGUAUCCUGUCCAAGUUCUCCAUUGAGGGUUCAUGUAUUUUAGUACAUUUAAAAAAUAAACGUGUUGAUGAUGAAUACAUUCCAAAUGUUUGUAAAGUAAUGCAGAUCACAACUUUCACCACUAUGUGGCAGUAGAUAAUCAUAUUGACACAUUUUAUGGAGCAGGCUAUUCAAACUCUAUAUAUAUUCUAUUUCUAUAAUAUAUAUCUAUCUUAUCUCAGCUUUAUAUAUAUUCAACAACUAUAUAUAAUCCAAAUAUACAAAAUUAAACCCCUAUAUUCUUUAUUAUACCUCUAUAUUUUCUAUCUAUAUUCUAUAUAUUCUAUAUCUUUAUUCUGCAUCAAACAUUAUCCUACAUCUAGUUUAGAUUUUUAUUCUAUAACUAUAUUCUACAUCUAUAUCCUAUAUAAUAUGACUAUAUUCUACAUCAAAAUGCUAUAUAUUUUCCCUGCUGUGCAAGUGUGGGUGACCCCUAGUUAUUUUCAGGGUAGCUGAUAAACUGCACUGCUUGUUUAAUGUGGUCUGGGUGAAUAUCUUCCUUCUACUUUGCAUUUGACUCCAAGGAAGGAAGGAAGAGCUUGAACACCAUUGUUCUAGUUAUUAUCUUAAACUGCAGGCACAGAAGUUUCCACAGACUUUUUCUGUCACACCAGCUACCUCCUCUACAAACAACGCCCUGAGAGAAACAAAUUAUGAAUCUUAGAACAGCUGCAAGAGGCUUUGUAGCUUUCCUUCUGUCAUUACCAGGUUUGUACAUUUACGUUGUGAACAUUAAGUUGAUCUGUUUCA